rnacentral:rRNA from 1 species
AUUGAACGCUGGCGGCAGGCCUAACACAUGCAAGUCGAACGAGUGGCGGACGGGUGAGUAAUGUCUGGGAAACUGCCUGAUGUAGGGGGAUAACUACUGGAAACGGUAGCUAAUACCGCAUACCAUCGGAUGUGCCCAGAUGGGAUUAGCUAGUAGGUGGGGUAAAGGGUCACCAAGGCGACGAUGCCUACCUGGUCUGAGAGGAUGACCAGCCACACUGGAACUGAGAAACGGUCCAGACUCCUACGGGAGGCAGCAGUGGGGAAUAUUGCACAAUGGGCGCAAGCCUGAUGCAGCCAUGCCGCGUGUAUGAAGAAGGCUUUCGGGUUGUAAAGUACUUUCAGCGGGGAGGCGUUACCCGCAGAAGAAGCCCCGGCUAACUCCGUGCCAGCAGCCGCGGUAAUUC